rnacentral:rRNA from 1 species
CGUUUCUCCGCCGGCGACCGGCGCACGGGUGAGUAACACGUAGUGCAACCCUGCCCCUGUCAGGGGGACAACCCGCCGAAAGGCGGGCUAAACCCGCGUACAUGCCACCGGGGCAUCCCGGAGGCAGGAAAGGCUUCGGCCGGACAGGGAUGGGCAUGCGGCGCAUUAGGCAGUAGGCGGGGUAACGGCCCACCUAACCGACGAUGCGUAGGGGUUCUGAGAGGAAGGUCCCCCACACUGGUACUGAGACACGGACCAGACUCCUACGGGAGGCAGCAG